UUCUUUGGUUACUGAGUGCUUAACUUUUACCUAUCACGUUGCCUUCUCGCUUGUCACUUGCCGUCAAAUGUUGGCCUGUAAAAUCUUAUUGCACUAGUGGCUGAGUCACUCCGACUUCAUUCUCAAAUCUUUUCGAGUGAGGUUACUCUCCUUUAAAUUCCGGGCUUGCUUCUCUCAGGGCUGACCUGUUUGUAGAUUUUAUGGUCAUACUGACCUCACAUUUUCCUGUUCAAUUCCCCAUCUAUUGUUCGCUAAGACGUACGCCUAAGCGACUAACUUGUCAACUUUAUGCAAACUUCCCUGAAAAAACAAAGUUGGAGGUUGUGUAGUGUCCAUCAAAAGGUGCACAGAGUUUUG